rnacentral:lncRNA from 1 species
CUGCAUGGCCAUACAGUGAAAAAUAGACCAGUGAAAUGAUCCAACCUAAAAUAAAGCUUCUUCUCAAAAGUUGUUUCUUCUUUUAGGCAUGGAUCAUUAAACAGAACUAUCAGAUGAACUAUUGGACCCACAAAGUAAGGAGGAUAGCAAUUUCCAGUGACAAGGAGAGAAAAAAGGUUCUGGAGGCAGAUGGGAUGUGAAUUCAUGUUGUAAACGUUCAGUCAUAGAACCACAAAAUAUCCUGAGUUGGAAGGACCCACAAGGAUUGAGUCCAUCUCCAGACUUCAUGAAUACCAACAUGCCUGAGGCCAUGACCACUUCCAUGAAGACUUUGCUUCAGUGCCUGACCACCCCGUCAGUGAAGAACUUUUGAAGCAAACAUAAAAUCUGAACUUCCCUUGAUGAAAUUUUAAGCCAUUCCCUUGGGCCUAUCAUGGACCACCAGAGAGGAGAGAUCUGCACCUCCCUCUCUGCUCUCUCUCAUGAGGAAGCUGUAGACAGCAAUGAGAUUACCCCUAAGACUCAUCUUCUCUAAGCUGAACAAGCCAAUUGUGCUCAGCUGCUCCUUGUAAGUCAAACCCUCUAGUUCUUUCAUCAUUUUUGUUGCCCUCCUUUGGACAGACCGAAAUAGUACUCAAGGUGAGACUGUACCAGUGCUGAGUACGGUGGGACAAUGACUUUUUUUCUAUUAGCUGUACUGAGCUUAAUGCACUACAGGAUAUUGUUGGUCCUUCUGGCCACCAGGACAUAUUGUUGACUCAUAUUGAGCUUAACAGGAAAGAGGAAGAAACUGGGUACAUGUAAACUUGUUGUUUCCAUUUUCCUUGAUUCCAGGAACCUACAGAAAGAUAUAAAACUGACUGAGCUAUUUUAAAAGAUCUU